UCGUACCCCGUUACUUGGAACUGUGGUAAUUCUAGAGCUAAUACAUGCCGACAGAGUUCCGACCAACUUACGAGAUUCGUCUUUGCAAGUUCGGAAGGAACGCUUUUAUUAGAUCAAAACCGGCCAGACGGCGGCGUUUCGCAUUCGUGCUGCGUCGUCGUUAGCGGCCCGCGCAAAGAUUUGGUGACUCUGAAUAACUUCGAGCUGAUCGCACGGUCCUCGUACCGGCGACGUAUCUUUCAAAUGUCUGCCUUAUCAACUGUCGACGGUAGGUUCGACGCCUACCGUGGUGGUAACGGGUAACGGGGAAUCAGGGUUCGAUUCCGGAGAGGGAGCCUGAGAAACGGCUACCACAUCCAAGGAAGGCAGCAGGCGCGCAAAUUACCCACUCCCAGCUCGGGGAGGUAGUGACGAAAAAUAACGAUACGGGACUCAUUUGAGGCCCCGUAAUC
rnacentral:rRNA from 1 species